GCUUCCCUACGGGGCGCAGCAGUAGGGAAUCUUCCACAAUGGACGAAAGUCUGAUGGAGCAACGCCGCGUGAGUGAAGAAGGGUUUCGGCUCGUAAAGCUCUGUUGGUAGGGAAGAAAGAUAGAGGUAGUAACUGGCCUUUAUUUUACGGUAAUUACUUAGAAAGUCACGGCUAACUACGUGCCAGCAGCCGCGGUAAUACGUAGGUUGCAAGCGUUUUCCGGAUUUAUUUGGCGUAAAACGGGUGCAGGCG
rnacentral:rRNA from 1 species